GAUGAACGCUGGCGGCGUGCCUAAUACAUGCAAGUCGAGCGGACAGACGAGGAGCUUGCUGCGCGCACGUUAGCGGAAGACGUGUGAGUAACACGUGUAUAACCCACCUAUAUGACUGGUAUAACUUCGGGAAACCGGAGCUAAUCCCGUAGAAUAUAUUGAACCGCAUGGGUCAAUGGUGAAAUACGGUGUUUCGGUCACUUAUAGAUGGAUCCGCGCCUCAUUAGCUAGUUGGUGAGUUAACGGGUUACGAAGGCAACGAUGCGUAGCCGACCUGAGGGGCGGGUCGCCGACCUGGGAACUUAGCCAGCCACAAUGGUCCUGCGGGAGGGACCAGUAGGCUACGGGCGGCAAUGGGGGAAAGCCUGACGCAGUAAGCCCGAGUCAGAGAUGACGGCCUUCGGUUCGUAAUACUCUGCUAUUAGGGAAAAACAACUGUGUACGUAAACAUGGCCGUAUUGACGGUACCGAAUCAGAAAGCACCGGCUAACUACGUG
rnacentral:rRNA from 1 species